rnacentral:rRNA from 1 species
UAGGGAAUAUUAGAAAUGGACGAAAGUCUGAUCUAGCAACACCGCGUGUGCGAAGAAGGCCUUCGGGUCGUAAAGCACUUUUUGGAAGGAAUCGGAAGGAAUGUACUUCCAGAAUAAGUCUCGGCUAACUACGUGCCAGCAGCCGCGGUAACACGUAGGAGGCAAACGUUAUCCGGAUUUACUGGGCGUAAAGCGCGUGUAGGUGGUACUGUAAGUAGGGCGUGAAAGCUCCUGGCUCAACUGGGAGAGGCCGUUCUAAACUACAGAACUAGAGGAUGGUCGAGGGAGGUGGAAUUCCAGGUGUAGCGGUGGAAUGCGCAGAUAUCUGGAGGAACACCGGUGGCGAAGGCGGCCUCCUUGACCAUUCCUGACACUCAGACGCGAAAGCUAGGGUAGCAAACG